UAAAGAAAAAAUGAAGAGAAUUACACAAUUGUGUUGAGAUAAUUAUCCUUGCCAGUUGAAGCCAUGGUAAUAAAAACAAUGUUUUCAAUUUUAUCCUGUGAUAAAUAGGGAACAAAUUUUUAUUGAUCUUAUAUGCAAAUAAUUACAUUGCUGUAAAAAUAGAAGUACUCAUGAAUAGUUUUUGAAUUUUGUAGGGGUCAGGUAGGGAGAAAAAAUGUUUUAACCUUUGUUCAAAAAAUAUACUUUACUAAAUUGUUUUAAACAAUAAAUAGCUUAAAAGAAAAAAAUUAUCAUCAAUCUGGAAAACAGUAAAUAAUGUUUUAUUUUUACUUUUUAAUUUAACUUUUAAGUUUGGGGUACAUAUGCAGGUUUAUUGUAUAGGUAGCUUCAUCUUUCUCCUGGGCUGGAUGCUUCCUGCCCCGAACAUCGGACUCCAAGUUCUUCAGCUUUUGGACUCUUGGACUUACACCAGUGGUUUGCCAGGGGAUCUCAGGCCUUUGGCCACAGACUGAAGGCUGUACUGUCAGCUUCCGUACUUUUGAGGUUUUGGGACUUGGACUGGCUUCCUCGUUCCUUAGCUUGCAGAUGGCCUAUCGUGGGACUUCA
rnacentral:lncRNA from 1 species